GACGUAGGGCGCGAGCGUUGUCCGGAUUUAUUGGGCGUAAAGAGCUCGUAGGCGGCUUGUCGCGUCGACUGUGAAAACCCGUGGCUCAACCAUGUGGUCUGCAGUCGAUACGGGCAGGCUAGAAUUCGGUAGGGGAGACUGGAAUUCCUGGUGUAGCGGUGAAAUGCGCAGAUAUCGGGAAGAACACCCGUGGCGAAGGCGGCUACUCUCGGGACGGUACUGACGCUGAGACGCGAAAGCGUGGGAGCAACAGG
rnacentral:rRNA from 1 species